CAAAAAAAUAAAUAAAUGAAAAAAUGCAAACCAGCCAAUCCAUACUGGCCCAGACCGACCAAACCCAUGUGGUUUGAAAGGUGAGUAGGUUGGGUUGAGUGGGGAGGGUUAGUUGGUAAAAAUUGGCGGCUCAGCUAAUAUGUGGUUUGAAAAAUGUCUACCCGCCUACAAACCAACCCAACCUACUUAUAUGUACACACAAAUCACCUUGCGCUAUCCCACAAACAAACCCUCACCAACCUUAAUACCAUU